CCUACGGGGGGCAGCAGUGGGGAAUAUUGGACAGUGGGCGAAAGCCUGAUCCAGCCAUGCCGCGUGUGUGAAGAAGGCCUUCGGGUUGUAAAGCACUUUCAGUGGGGAAGAAAGCCUUGGGGCUAAUACCCUCGAGGAAGGACAUCACCCACAGAAGAAGCACCGGCUAACUCCGUGCCAGCAGCCGCGGUAAUACGGAGGGUGCGAGCGUUAAUCGGAAUUACUGGGCGUAAAGCGCGCGUAGGCGGUCUGAUAAGCCGGUUGUGAAAGCCCCGGGCUCAACCUGGGAACGGCAUCCGGAACUGUCAGGCUAGAGUGCAGGAGAGGAAGGUAGAAUUCCCGGUGUAGCGGUGAAAUGCGUAGAGAUCGGGAGGAAUACCAGUGGCGAAGGCGGCCUUCUGGACUGACACUGACGCUGAGGUGCGAAAGCGUGGGUAGCAAACAGGAUUAGAUACCCGAGUAGUC
rnacentral:rRNA from 1 species